UACGUAGGUGGCAAGCGUUGUCCGGAUUUACUGGGCGUAAAGAGCGCGUAGGCGGUCGAUCAAGUCGCGUGUGAAAGCCCCCGGCUCAACUGGGGAGGGUCACGCGAUACUGAUCGUCUCGAAGGCAGGAGAGGGUAGUGGAAUUCCCGGUGUAGUGGUGAAAUGCGUAGAUAUCGGGAGGAACACCAGUGUCGAAGGCGACUACCUGGCCUGUUUCUUGACGCUGAGACACGAAAGCCAGGGGAGCAAACGGG
rnacentral:rRNA from 1 species